rnacentral:ncRNA from 2 species
GGCUUGGCAGAAUCAGCGGG